UGUCGUUUAAUUGGCCUCGGUAAAAAUUGUAAAUUGUCCCUAGUGUGUGGGAUAGUGCUAGUGUACGGGGAUCGCUGGUCGGCGCAGACUCGGUGGGCCGAAGGGCCUGUUUCCGCGCACUAUCGCUGAACUAAACUAAAUAAAGGAAUGGAUG